rnacentral:tRNA from 1 species
GGAUAUAGCUCAGAUGGUAGAGUGCUUGCCUUGCAUGCACAAGGCCCUGGGUUCAAUCCCCAGCACCA